UGGGGAAUUUUGCACAAUGGGGGAAACCCUGAUGCAGCGACGCCGCGUGAUUUAGAAGGCCUUCGGGUUGUAAAAAUCUUUUCUAUGGGAAGAAAAUGACAGUACCAUAGGAAUAAGGACCGGCUAAUUACGUGCCAGCAGCCGCGGUAAUACGUAAGGUCCGAGCGUUGUCCGGAAUCAUUGGGCGUAAAGGGUACGUAGGCGGGUAAGCAAGUUAGAAGUGAAAUCCUAUAUCUCAACUAUAGUAAGCUUUUAAAACUGCUCAUCUUGAGGUAUGGAAGGGAAAGUGGAAUUCCUAGUGUAGCGGUGAAAUGCGCAGAUAUUAGGAGGAAUACCGGUGGCGAAGGCGACUUUCUGGCCAUAACCUGACGCUGAGGUACGAAAGCGUGGGUAGCAAACAGG
rnacentral:rRNA from 1 species